rnacentral:rRNA from 1 species
GACGAACGCUGGCGGCGUGCUUAACACAUGCAAGUCGAGCGGAAAGGCCCUUCGGGGUCCUCGAGCGGCGAACGGGUGAGUAACACGUGAGUAACCUGCCCUAGGCUUUGGGAUAACCCCGGGAAACCGGGGCUAAUACCGGAUAUGACCUGGUGCCGCAUGGUGUUGGGUGGAAAGUUUUUUCGGCCUGGGAUGGGCUCGCGGCCUAUCAGCUUGUUGGUGGGGUGAUGGCCUACCAAGGCGAUGACGGGUAGCCGGCCUGAGAGGGCGACCGGCCACACUGGGACUGAGACACGGCCCAGACUCCUACGGGAGGCAGCAGUGGGGAAUAUUGCACAAUGGGCGGAAGCCUGAUGCAGCGACGCCGUGUGAGGGAUGAAGGCCUUCGGGUUGUAAACCUCUUUCAGCAGGGACGAAGCGUGAGUGACGGUACCUGCAGAAGAAGCGCCGGCCAACUACGU